AACGAACGCUGGCGGCAUGCCUAACACAUGCAAGUCGAACGGUAGCGGGCCUUCGGGUGCCGACGAGUGGCGAACGGGUGAGUAAUGUAUCGGAACGUACCUUUCAGUGGGGGGAUAACGUAGCGAAAGUUACGCUAAUACCGCAUAUUCUGUGAGCAGGAAAGCAGGGGAUCGCAAGACCUUGCGCUGAUUGAGCGGCCGAUAUCAGAUUAGCUAGUUGGUGAGGUAAAGGCUCACCAAGGCGACGAUCUGUAGCGGGUCUGAGAGGAUGAUCCGCCACACUGGAACUGAGACACGGUCCAGACUCCUACGGGAGGCAGCAGUGGGGAAUUUUGGACAAUGGGGGCAACCCUGAUCCAGCCAUGCCGCGUGAGUGAAGAAGGCCUUC
rnacentral:rRNA from 1 species